UCUAUUUUGGUAGAUGACUUGUUAUUAUUUGUAGUGGGUAUAGCACUGAAUAUCUAACUUAUGUUAGAAGGGAGUAUGAAGGUACUUACUUUGGAUAUUUAAUCUCAGAAUAGCUAUUAAUAUAUGAUGAGUUAUCAGACUUCUUGCGAUAAGGUGAGGAGUCGAGAGGGAAACAGCCCAGAAUAAUAUAUAAAG
rnacentral:rRNA from 1 species